AGAGCGAACGCUGGCGGCAGGCCUAACACAUGCAAGUCGAGCGCCCGUAGCAAUACGGGAGCGGCAGACGGGAUAGUAACACGUGGGAACGCGCCCUUCGGUUCGGAAUAACUCAGGGAAACUUGAGCUAAUACCGAAUACGCCCUUACGGGGAAAGAUUUAUUGCCGAAGGAACGGCCCGCGUCCGAUUAGCUAGUUGGCGAGGUAAUGGCUCACCAAGGCUACGAUCGGUAGCUGGUCUGAGAGGAUGACCAGCAUCACUGGGACUGAGACACGGCCCAGACUCCUACGGGAGGCAGCAGUGGGGAAUAUUGGACAAUGGGCGCAAGCCUGAUCCAGCCAUGCCGCGUGGAUGAUGAAGGCCUUAGGGUUGUAAAGUCCUUUUAACGGGGAAGUAUAAUGACGGUACCCGUAGAAUAAGCCCGGCUAACUUCGUGCCAGCAGCCGC
rnacentral:rRNA from 1 species